rnacentral:rRNA from 1 species
CCUACGGGGGGCAGCAGUGAGGAAUAUUGGUCAAUGGACGCAAGUCUGAACCAGCCAUGCCGCGUGCAGGAAGACGGCUCUAUGAGUUGUAAACUGCUUUUGUACGAGGGUAAACGCAGAUACGCGUAUCUGUCUGAAAGUAUCGUACGAAUAAGGAUCGGCUAACUCCGUGCCAGCAGCCGCGGUAAUACGGAGGAUUCAAGCGUUAUCCGGAGUUAUUGGGUUUAAAGGGUGCGUAGGCGGUCGGAUAAGUUAGAGGUGAAAUCCCGAGGCUCAACUUCGGAAUUGCCUCUGAUACUGUUCGGCUAGAGAGUAGUUGCGGUAGGCGGAAUGUAUGGUGUAGCUGUGAAAUGCUUAGAGAUCAUACAGAACACCGAUUGCGAAGGCAGCUUACCAAGCUACUUCUGACGUUGAGGCACGAAAGCGUGGGGAGCAAACAGGAUUAGAUACCCGGGUAGUC